CUCUCUCUCUCUCUCUCUAGAUUGGUUCUGAUGUCGGCGUGCGAAGUUUCAACCUCUUAUCUGGAAAGAUGUGUGUUCGUUUGUGGAUCGAGGUUUAGCGAUUAGAAACCCUAACUACGAACACGGUGGAUGUUCACGUUCAAUUUGGUAGUUUCUUCUGUGUUAAGGAGAAGCAGUAGCCAGUAGGCCAUGUUUGGUAAACCAUAAUCUAUUUUAUUGCUUAUUUGAUUACCGUGUUUGCUUAGGUUAAAAAAUUUUUUACCAUAGAGGAAUGGUAAUUACCCGAUGUAAUUUUCAUUACACAAUAACACAGACACUUUCCCAUCGUUAGCCUCUCGCAUACUUCUUCACUGCCGCUUUCCCACCGCCGAUUUUCUCUCUUCUCCAUAUCUGCGAGCUUGCUUCCAUGGCUUCUAUUACUAUUGCAAUCAACUCCUAAUCAACUUAUCCUCUCCCAAAUCAAACCCUAGCUCCUAUUAUCAAUUUCAAAUUAAAGGUUGAAGUAAUCUCCCUUGACAACAAACUUGAUUAAAGAAUUAGGUAAGUUUUGUUUUUUUUUUUUCAAAUUUUUUCAAUAUUCUUGUUAUAUUCUGAAAAUUUUUGAUAUCUGGCUUAAUGAUUGUUGGUUUUGAUUUAUACCAAUUUUCUUCUUCCUUUUUACUGUACUGGGAAUGAGGAAUCUGUUCUCUUCUUGUGGAUUUACACUCUGAUUGUGUGCAUGCGCUUGAAUUUGGUUCUGGGCGUAUUUACAUAUUGAAUAACGGAGAAGGAGAGAAAACAGAGAAUGGGUGUAUUUAAAUAUUCAAUAGCUGUGUAUGUGAUAGAGUUUGUAGCUGGCAUGAACCUGCCAAAGAACUGUAUCUAUUAGUGGACACGUGAAGAAGAAUUUUUACCUGUUUACCAUUGUCUUUGCUCUGUCAUGAACAGACUUCCAAGAUGUAUAUAUUAUUAUUAUUAAGGAACAACUCUGUAAUGAAAAUCUAUUCUUUUUUGAAAGCUUAUAGACGACUCUUUCUCCUUUUCCAGCAUAGAUAAUUCUGAUUGACCAUUUGGAUAAUAGCAUCUCUAAUGGCACAAUCUGUAAGUUUGAUUCAUACAAGCCCCCUCAAAUUGGGCUUCAUUCCUCAAAGAAGAGUUUCACAUGGGAAAUAUGGAAUGCUUGUUUCCAGAGCAUCACCUAGGAUUCUCAGUAUCCAAGCUGUACAGGAGAAUGGGGGGCCGCGAAGAUUAGUUGACAUUAUUAGAAUUGUGCCUGAGCUCUCCAGGAACUACUUUCGAAGUCCUUCAAGGAGGGCACUUUUUGGUGGAAUAUCCUUGUUGGGUGGAUUUUAUGUGGCCCAAACCAUCUCUCUGUCAUUUGGAGCUUUAGGAGUAAACGAUGUCAUUGCUGCAGUGAUAUGUGUUCUUCUGACAGAGUAUGUGACAAGGUUUUAUUACAGCCGGCCAAAGGUAACCUUCCCCAUUGCCCUUCUCAACAAUUUCAAGAUGGGCUUCACUUAUGGCCUCUUUAUUGACGCAUUCAAGCUGGCUAGUUAAUUGUAUCAUUGGAAGCUCUGAGUUUUGGGUUUUCCCACAUUCUGUUUGUUGGAGCCUGGAGGUGUUUUCGUUCUGUAAAGUUCUUUUAUUUCAUGCUUCUUUCAGUUAUGAAAGAUGUAUUUUUAUCUUUCUACUAGUUUUUCUCAUGUUCUUUGACUUUCAGUUUUGAGGAACAUAUCCUUUGAUUUCGCAAAUAUAUAAAACUUUGAUUUCGCAAAUAUAUAAAACUUUGAUUUCGCAAAUAUAUAAAA
rnacentral:misc_RNA from 1 species